rnacentral:tRNA from 1 species
ACCCGGGUGGCUCAGUGGGUUGGGCGUCUGACUUCGGCUCAGGUCAUGAUCUCACGGUUCGUGGGUUCGAGCCCCGCAUUGGGCU